CGUAACGCGUAUGCAACCUGCCUGACACAGGGGGAUAAUCCGAAGAAAUUUGGUCUAAUACCCCAUAAUACCGAUAUAGGCAUCUAUGUUGGUUGAAAGCUUUGGUGGUGUCAGAUGGGCAUGCGUUGUAUUAGCUAGUUGGUGAGGUAACGGCUCACCAAGGCGACGAUCAGUAGCCGGCUUGAGAGAGUGAACGGCCACAUUGGGACUGAGACACGGCCCAAACUCCUACGGGAGGCAGCAUG
rnacentral:rRNA from 1 species